GCACAUCCUGUCACCAUGCAGGAGUCAAGUGCCCAGCUGAAAUCUGAAAGAGCUGUCUAAGUGAGGCUGCAUGGCACAAAGGGAUGAGAGUUAUGCAGUUUUGUUCACAGCAGUUUUUAAUCUUGGUGAUGGGGAUGCCUGUCUGUAAGUGGGUUGUGAAUGCUAGCUUAAGAGCAACAAGUAUCUGAAGGCAUCAGCAUUAUCACCCUGCAUUACUGUUCCAGAUUCAACCUUGCAGCCUCAACAGGGAAUUAAUCAACUGAAACCCAAAUCAAACACCCACAAGCCCCAGGAAGUCACAUAAGUUGAUGAAUUCUAAUUGAGUGACAGUUUUGAAAUCUGCCAUGAACUGCAGACAUGUACUUACAUCUUGAAUUCAUCACUUGAAAGACUACUUUGACAGUAAUGGCAAAUGUCAUCACAACUCUCCUUAAUGCUGAAAGAAGGCUGAAUUCAAGAUCAUGCAAUGGAUACAAUGUGCGUGCAGCCUUCACAGCUGGUGAGCUUUGCCUUCAUGUACUUCAUUGCAAGAUGGUAGGCCUGAAGCUCACCAAUGAUUCCUACCCCAAGCCUAACCAAAUCCUGGUCCUACAGACUGCUGACCGUGUGGAACCAUGCAAGGAGGUUCAUUGAAAUUCAGUAGGACUGUGUGUGGACAUCAACAGAGCAAUGCUGUCUCUGUGUGUUGACUAGCAGUAUGGAGGCCUUAAUUUCUUAGGCUGUACUCUGUGUCAGUGCCAUUUAAUACAAAUUUUAAUGCCUCAUUUAGGUCAUAAAUCAUUGAAAGGAAUAAAAACAUAGCAUG
rnacentral:lncRNA from 14 species